CACAGCCCCGGGGGUCCCACAAACAUUGAUGGUGCCCACUGGGCACUGUUCGUGCUCCAGAAAUGCUGCUCAGGAAUGCUUUGGUGGCUCCAGGCCCAGUUCCAGCGAGGCCCAGUUUUCACAGCUGCUGAACACGGUUCUGCUGAAGUUAAACACAGAUUUUGAUGGUCGAUUGCUCUGAAAACCAAACUCAGAAUUGUCCUGUGUCCAAGUCAUUUAUGAAGAGAACUGGGCUGAGGAUGGAGCCCUGCAGAACCCCACUAGUGACUGGUGCCAGCCUGAUGUCACCUCGUUCACUGUAACUCUUCG